rnacentral:lncRNA from 1 species
AGAGCUCCUGCCCUCCCACCUCUGAACUUCUUGGCUCUCCAGAACAUCUCUUCUGGGAUCCCAUGAAGGUCCAUGACAUUCGCUGGAACUUUGAGAAGUUCCUGGUGGGACCGGAUGGAGCCCCUGUCAUGCGCUGGUUCCACCAGACUCCUGUCAGAGUUGUCCAGUCAGACAUCAUGGAGUACCUAAACCAAACCCGUACCCAGUAGGAUGUUUUACAAAUAGUGCCUUUGCUCCACCCCUUCACCAGCCUCCAUAUGAUCAAAGCCUGCAACACUACUUGUGUCCUUACUAAUGUGUGUACAAACAGAAGUUUAUUUGUGGUAGGCAUAUGCAUGCAUUGGAAAUUAAGUUAAAAAAAAACAAUUAUCCACCCAGAUAUCUGACUCUCAUAUAUCUAGUUUCCCUAAUCUAGUCCAAAAGAAAGUCAUAUUUUGGCAAUGAUGAUCCAGACAAUUCCAUAUAUCUAAAAAGUGAUCUACCAAGACCCUAAUCUAUCAUUCACAGCACUGGUGGGUUAAAAGAAGUGGGAACGGGUGGCCAGAUCCUCUGGGUCCCAGUAUCUUCUCCUCCCAAGCUGGGCAUGCUUUGUCAAGCUCUCCUUCUGUUUAGCUCCUUAGUACAACACUGACCCAUAGUUAUCUUAGGGAAUUCUGAAGGCCAAGAGCAGAAACCUCACCUCACAUGGAGGAAGGGGUAUUUCUACCACAGUUGGUCCCAAGGUCCCUCUGGCUCAGACCCUACCAGAGCCUUCCUGAGUGCCUUUCUGUUAGUGCAUCAAAUGAUGUGGUUUGCUCUCACCUAGAGUCUUCUCAACUUUAAAUUCAUCCCUGUUAUCACUGUCUCUAAUGAUGAUGAUGAUGAUGGUGAUUAUAAUAAUAAUAAUAAUCUAAUAAACAAAAGAACUCAC